AUCCAUUUGUAUGGACCCUUUUGGCUAAGAUCAAAGUGUAGUAUCCGCUCCUAUCAACUUAAAAAGGGAUACGUGCUGCACUGCAGGACUACAGUAUUUAACUUAUUUUUGACUCACGAUUGUUCAGGGCUUAAAAACUCACGAAAGACUGUUUUCUCUUAUUUAUCGAGAAAACAAAAGACAAAACUUC